rnacentral:rRNA from 1 species
AUUGAACGCUGGCGGCAUGCUUUUCACAUGCAAGUCGAACGGCAGCGCGGGCUUCGGCCUGGCGGCGAGUGGCGAACGGGUGAGUAAUACAUCGGAACGUGCCCAGUAGUGGGGGAUAGCUCGGCGAAAGCCGGAUUAAUACCGCAUACGACCUGAGGGUGAAAGCGGGGGAUCUUCGGACCUCGCGCUAUUGGAGCGGCCGAUGGCAGAUUAGCUAGUUGGUGGGGUAAAGGCCUACCAAGGCGACGAUCUGUAGCUGGUCUGAGAGGACGACCAGCCACACUGGGACUGAGACACGGCCCAGACUCCUACGGGAGGCAGCAGUGGGGAAUUUUGGACAAUGGGCGAAAGCCUGAUCCAGCAAUGCCGCGUGUGUGAUGAAGGCCUUCGGGUUGUAAAGCACUUUUGGCGGGAACGAAAAGGACUGUGCCAAUACCACGGUUCGAUGACGGUACCCGCAGAAUAAGCACCGGCUAACUACGUG